UUUCCGUAGGUGAACCUGCGGAGGGAUCAUUACAAGUGACCCCGGUUUACCACCGGGAUGUUCAUAACCCUUUGUUGUCCGACUCUGUUGCCUCCGGGGCGACCCUGCCGUUCGCGGCGUGGGGCCCCCGGAGCCCAUCAAACCCUGCGUAACUAAGUCGUCGGAGUUUAAACAAAUUAAACAAAACUUUCAACAACGGAUCUCUUGGUUCUGGCAUCGAUGAAGAACGCAGC
rnacentral:misc_RNA from 1 species